AAUUAAUUAAUCCAAUUAAUUAAUUCGGGAUUAUAAAUAAGAAAUUCAAUUAAUUAAUUUAUCCAACGAUUGUUAAAUUAAUCAAUUAACAAUUUGCAGUCUUCCAAUUCUCUUUUGUGUGCGACCCAUUAGGUUCCCGACCACGAUGCCUAACGUCGUGAAAUAUUAUUUUGAUCUAAUCAAAAUCGAUAAAUUAAUACACACUUUUAAUUUAUCGUCAAUUCACAUCCGCCGUCCCUGAUUGACAUCUAGCAAUGUGUCAGGGCAAUACAUGUGACGGGAAAUGUCACGUGGUAUGACAAAACCAAAAUCGUUCGUUUAUCAUGGAACUAUUAUCCCUUCGUCAAUAUGAUCCGAUCAAUUACGAGAUAUGGAAUUGUGUCAAUCUCGAUCAUCGAUCAUAUCUUUCAUUCUACUAUUAAGUCAAUAUAAAUCGAAAACUCCUUUUCGACUUAUGAGUACACCUUGN
rnacentral:lncRNA from 1 species